GUCCAUGCCGUAAACGUUGGGCACUAGGUGUGGGGUCUUCUAACGGAUUCCGUGCCGUAGCUAACGCAUUAAGUGCCCCGCCUGGGGAGUACGGCCGCAAGGCUAAAACUCAAAGGAAUUGACGGGGGCCCGCACAAGCGGCGGAGCAUGUUGCUUAAUUCGAGGCAACGCGAAGAACCUUACCUGGGUUUGACAUGUACCGAAAAGCCAUAGAGAUAUGGUGUCCUUCGGGGCGGUACACAG
rnacentral:rRNA from 1 species